AACCCGCUUACAACUUGAGUUGUACUGUGUAAAUCAAGCACACGACUCGCUCACGUUGUCGUAGGUGAGUUGUGUGCUUGAUUACACAGUACAACUCGAGUUGCAAGCAGGUU